CCACGCUAUCUGUCACACCUCGGGACUGAUACCAAUUUGGGCCGGCCCGAGCACGUCAAACAGACGCCGAACGGACAAAGUUUCCCCUGUCCGCCCUAAACACGGCUUACACGAGGGUAAACAAUAGCCACGAGUGAAAGGAAAAGGAAACUAAAUAUUCACUUACACUAUGAUUCAUUUUUGAUCAUAUACAUUGCAUUCAUCUUAUACAUUUUCGAAUUCCUUACAUUCAUUACAUCAUUUCAUCAUGUCUUUCUUACAUCACAUUUACCUCAAAUACACAUUACAUUCUUUUCUUUGCAUCAUUUAUCAUCAAGUACAAAGAUGAUCAUAGGGUACUACUAACAAAAUGUACACCCAACUUUGGUGGCCUCUGACUAAGGCGCGAUACCUUUACCUCGGUCGCUCGCCGGCUCGCUCGGUCCCGGCUCUGUAGAAAUAGUGGGGUGAGAACUACAACAAAGUUCCCAGUGGGUUCGGCC
rnacentral:lncRNA from 1 species